GAGGAGGACGUGCGCUUGAGUGACCAAACCAUAAAGAUGCGUGGCUUUUAUUUGU
ensembl:ncRNA Y64G10A.354 ncRNA